UACGUAGGGUGCAAGCGUUGUCCGGAAUUAUUGGGCGUAAAGAGCUCGUAGGCGGUUUGGCGCGUCUGCUGUGAAAACCCGAGGCUCAACCUCGGGCCUGCAGUGGGUACGGGCAGACUAGAGUGCGGUAGGGGAGAUUGGAAUUCCUGGUGUAGCGGUGGAAUGCGCAGAUAUCAGGAGGAACACCAAUGGCGAAGGCGGUUCUCUGGGCCUUACCUGACACUGAGGAGCGAAAGCGUGGGGAGCGAACAGG
rnacentral:rRNA from 1 species